rnacentral:rRNA from 1 species
AUUGAACGCUGGCGGCAGGCCUAACACAUGCAAGUCGAGCGAGCGGCGGACGGGUGAGUAAUGUAUGGGAACUGCCGGAUAGAGGGGGAUAACUACUGGAAACGGUAGCUAAUUACGCAUCCAAUCGGAUAACCCAUAUGGGAUUAGCUAGUAGGUGAGGUAAUGGCUCACCUGGGCGACGAUCCCUAGCUGGUAUGAGAGGAGGAUCAGCCACACUGGGACUGAGACACGGCCCAGACUCCUACGGAGGCAGCAGCUGGGAAUAUUGCGCAAUGGGCGCAAGCCUAAUGCAGCCAUGCCGCGUGUAUGAAGAAGGCCCUAGGGUUGUAAAGUACUUUCAGUCGGGAGGCGUUACCGACAGAAGAAGCACCGGCUAACUCCGUGCCAGCAGCCGCGGUAAUAC